ACUAGUGUUUGCUUAUGUGUGUAUGAAUAUAGUUGGAUAUACAUGUUUGUCUUUCUGAUAGGACAAGGCUUCCACUCAGAUUUACUGAAGAGUGAAGAUGUAUGGUUUCAAUCAAUUGAGAAUCGUGUAAUUGUACUUGGCACAAUUACUCACUUGGACCAAAACAGAAACAAAGAAAGGAAAAAAAAAAUGAGUGGUAGGCCUGAGGAACAGAUAAUUCUACAAUGAAUUUUUUUGCUCGUGCACUCAUGGAUUCCAGAGUACAAUUGUAAAUUGGAUGUAGAGCAAAAUAAAUUUAUUUAAACUGCUGGAUAAAACCCAUUAUUAGAUCAAACUAACCAGUUUGUAAAAUUUUAUUAAAAUAGAGUAGCAAAUAUCAACCUAUAUCUCAUAUAUUAGGGUAAUUAUCAUGCAUCAAACAUUUGUUCAGCUGUAUUUAUGCAUGCAGGUGUUUUUAGUAGGUCAUGAUGUGCAAAUGCUGACUGCAAAUUAAUUCUUGUUCUCGGAGUGUGUGUGUGCAGAACCCUUUGGAGUUCAAUGACAAUGCCUUGGAUGAUGCAGAAGAACAAGUAGGGACCUUGGAGUAUGAAUUGGUUCUACAAAAGCCUGGACUUGAAGGUAGGAGAAAG
rnacentral:lncRNA from 1 species